rnacentral:rRNA from 1 species
GACGAACGCUGGCGGCGUGCUUAACACAUGCAAGUCGAACGGAAAGGCCCUGCUUGCCGGGUACUCGAGUGGCGAACGGGUGAGUAACACGUGGGUGAUCUGCCCUGCACUUCGGGAUAAGCCUGGGAAACUGGGUCUAAUACCGGAUAGGAGCCAUUUUUAGUGUGAUGGUUGGAAAGUUUUUUCGGUGUAGGAUGAGCUCGCGGCCUAUCAGCUUGUUGGUGGGGUAAUGGCCUACCAAGGCGGCGACGGGUAGCCGGCCUGAGAGGGUGGACGGCCACAUUGGGACUGAGAUACGGCCCAGACUCCUACUGGAGGCAGCAGUGGGGAAUAUUGCACAAUGGGCGCAAGCCUGAUGCAGCGACGCCGCGUGGGGGAGGACGGCCUUCGGGUUGGAAACUCCUUUCGCUAGGGACGAAGCUUUUUGUGACGGUACCUAGAUAAGAAGCACCGGCUAACUACGUG